rnacentral:rRNA from 1 species
AUGGCUGCAGGGCCGCUGGUGCUAUGGAACCACCGGUCGAUGCAGAUCCUGGUCCUCCUCAGCCUCGGGCUCCAGCUCGUCCUCUUCGUCUUCGCCGGGAUCCGCCGGCGUCAGACGCUCCCCGUGCGGAGGUUCCUUCUGUGGCUAGCGUACCUCAUGGCUGACUCCACCGCCGUGUACGCCGUCGGCCACCUGUCGUUCGGCAGCGCCGUGCGUGAGAACCAGCUCGUCGCGUUCUGGGCGCCGUUCCUGCUGCUCCACCUCGGCGGCCCGGACAACAUCACCGCCUACGCGCUGCAGGACAACCAGCUCUGGCUCCGCCACCUCACCGUCCUCGUCGUGCAGGUCCUCGGAGCGGGCUACGUCCUCUACAAGCACAUCGCCGUGGCCGGCGGCCAGGACAGGAAGCUGCUCCUGAUCGCCUCCAUUUUGAUGUUCGUCGUCGGCUUCGUCAAGUACGGGGAGAGGACGUGGGCGCUCAAGUGCAGCACCCUGGAGAGCAUAGGCGCCUCCCUCAGGACGCAGCCGCCCGCCAUCCACAACCAUGUCCACCCUCAGGACGAAGCUCCGGGGGAUGAGUUCCACCUGCGACGAGCCCACUCGCUGUUCCACAUCUGCAAGCGCGCCAUGGUCGAUUCCUCAGUGGUCGAGGAAGACUACAUGGACAUGGACGGCCUAGAAGAGUACACCAGCAAGCUGAUACAACGUGUCGAGCUGUGGACGCUGAUGGAGAUAGAGCUCUCCCUCAUGUACGACAUCCUGUACACCAAGGCGGCCGUGGUGCACACCUUCCGGGGCUACCUAAUCCGCUUCAUCUCGCCGCUCGCCGUCGCCACCUCGCUGCUGCUGUUCCGGUUCACCCCCAAGGAUGGCUACCUCAGAGCCGACGUGGCCAUCACCUACGUCCUGCUGGGUGGCGCCGUGUUCAUGGAGACGACGUCGCUCCUGAACGCACUGGCAUCGUCGUGGACGUUCGCGUUCCUGAGCACCACGCGGUGGAAUUGGCUUCGGUACGCAGCCCUGUGCAACAAGAGAUGGGACAAGCUCCGGCGCGCCGUCGUGUGGCUUCAUGAUCUUGUCAAGGGAGGAGUUGCCGGUAACAGUAGGUACACGUCCAGAAGGUGGUCAUACACCAUCGGGCAGUACAACUUGCUGCACUUGUGCACGCGCCCCGCCGACACGCCGCUCACCAGCCCUCUGCUUGGGAGGCUGGCCAGGGCACUGGCACCCGAUGAGUGGUGGAACAGGAAGCACUACUCGGCGACCGUCGAGAUGACCGAUCCGAUCAGGCGUCGUAUCUCUGUGUACAUGAGCCGACUGUACAGCAAGGGCAGGUUCAACGCUGCCAUGCUGGGGAAGAAGUGGGGUGAGUACCCACUAGGCCGCCGCGGGCUUUACCGCGGCAUCCUCAAGGACUCCCUCGGCAUCGAGUUUCAGGAGGGCAUCAUCAUCUGGCACAUCGCCACCGAGGUCUUCCUCACCAAGAGCGAGAGAGCCAAAGCCAUGGACGCCGCGCCUGACGUGCACGCCAUCAGGGUGAUGUCCGAUUAUAUGAUGUUUCUCCUGGUGGAACGUCCCUACAUGCUGCCAGGCCAGCCCCAGAAAAGGUUGUACCAGCGGACCUGCGAGAGGCUGGUCACCAGGAGAUCGACUGAUCCUAGGUACCCUAGCCGUGCACGCGUCGUCAAGGAUCUGUUCCGUGUGUUUGAUGCCCCACACUCGAGCAUUUCUAGGGUUGCCGAGAGAGAGGAGCUCGCCAACAAUCUGUACGAUGAAUACGAGGACCAGGAGUUCAGCCACCUUGCUCCUCGUCUCACUCACAUGGCUCAACUCGCCAAGGAGCUGCUGGAGAAGGAGAAGGAUGGCACGAUAGACUCCUUGGAGCUUGUCCUUGACGUGUGGAUGGACAUUCUCGUCUACGCGAGCAACAAGUGCAGCAGGGAGUCCCAUGCCCAGAAGCUCAACAGUGGUGGCGAGUUGACGACCAUCUUGUGGCUUAUGGCAGAAUACAUCUACCAAGCGUCGGUUGCCCAAAGAGAUGAUGUAGUAUAA